rnacentral:rRNA from 1 species
AGCUCCAAUAGCGUAUACUAAUGUUGUUGCAGUUAAAAAGCUCGUAGUCGGAUUUCAUGUAGCGGUGUUACUGUCACUCUUUGAGUCAGACGGUAGCCUUCGCUGCAUUCUUUUGUUACUGUUUUAUUCUGGUCUUCAUUGAUUGGAGUAAGGCACGGCAUCUUUUACUUUGAGAAAAUUAGAGUGUUCAAAGCAGGCGUUUUCGCCUUGAAUAUUACUCAUGGAAUAAUAAUAUAUGACUUCGGUCUCCUUUUGUUGGUGUUUGUUGGCUGAAGUAAUGAUUGAUAGGGACAGUUGGGGUCAUUAGUACUCCUUAGCGAGAGGUGAAAUUCAUAGACCUUAGGAAGACUAGCUACUGCGAAAGCAUUUGACAAGGAUGUUCCCG